CUCCAACGCGCCCUGCUCCUCCUCCAAGUCUGGCCCCGCCUUCCCCUCCUCCCUCUCACUUCUUCGGCACCACCCACCUCUCCACCGCGCCUUACUCCUCCUUCAACUCCGCCCCCCUCUGUCGUGCUUCUUCAGCGCCACGCACCAACAAAACAAGCAACAGGUGAACCCUCCGUCACCAACUUACUUUUCUCACCCACAACGUCGACGAUGUCGGCGACCUACCCGUCCUCGUCCGAGGCGACUCGCCUCAAAUCCAUGCUCCAGCGUAGUCUCGGAUCCAGAUGCACCCUGUGACAAUCUCGGGCUGCGCCCGCACGCGCCGCGCCACGGUCGAGGCAGUGGUCGGCCUGGAUGUCGCGCGUGCCACAACUGUGUAGGACCUGGUGCGCGGCGCUGUCGCCGCUAACGGUCGGCUCCGGCGCCUCGACGGCUUCGCGAAAGCAAAGGUGAGGACGGUUCGCCCUCCAUCCCCUGUCCCAACGUCUACGUGACCCAGCACACCAAUGCCGCGAAAUCCCAAGAUGAGGCGCCGUGAUGACUUGCCCACACUCCCUCAAACUCCAUUGUGCCACCGCGAGCCACCAGGCCCACCACCAGGAGCCCCCUGCCCCUCCCCCCUGAAACGUCGUCACCGUGAUGGUGCAGGUCGGAUCGUUAUCCCCUUACCUCGCUCAAAUGCCUUCGCGGUGCCUGCGCGUGUUGUCGCCAUGCCUGCUUCCCCUUUCCCAGAAACACCUUGACAGUCAAAACAAUAUUGAGCAGAUCAUGGUCAUCAAGAACACUGGCACACUCGAUAGCGAAUUCUAAGUAACUGCCAGGAUAAGGUGGCCAUGAAUGGACUGUCAGAUUGGACGCCAGGGGCUUGACCAUUAAUGGGGUGUUGCCAGAGUGGAUUUGGUAAAUUGUGUUUUGGACGAGAUCUUUCUUGAUCUGCAAGAUGAGGACUAGAAGACAAACCUUGGUCCAUUAUGAGUAGCAGUCCAAAAGGAUUUGUUUGGUAAAUACUUGGCCUUCAGAAUGGUGGGGAGGGAGAAUUUUUUGUUUGUUGCAAUGUUCUAAUCAGCUUAGGUGAUGAUGCUUUUGUUGAUAGUGUAAAGAUCUCUGGUGCCCAGACUCCCAUUCUGUUAAUGUACUCCGGCUCUGUUAAUGUUUUCUUAGAUAAAAUAGAUUUGAUUUACAAGUGCCAAUAUUUUGGAAGCAUAAUAGACACUGAGCUUCAAACGUUUAGAACACCAACAAGCCCCAGCCCCUUCUCAGCACAAUGACAUUGUUUACAUGUAUGCAUUUUUUUCUUGCUAUUGUUAUGAAGAAGCUUUAUUUCUGAAAUAUUGAUUUCCAAUUUAUGAAAUAUUGAUUUCCAAUUUCUGAUAGUACCUUCAGUACAUUUCUUAACUUCUUUAUUCUAGCCUUAGGAUACUGUAUAAUCUUACCAAAUGAACACAGAUAGGUCUAUGUUUGGUUUAUGUUCAUUACUGUCAUUUUUUUGUCGUGUGCUCUGACAAGGUGGACUUAACACACCCUAAUCUACUAUGAAAAAAUAGAGCAGGGCCUGCUGUAGCCAAUGAGUUGGAUAUAGUGGACACAAUCACAUCAAUUUUGUGGUUCAAUUACUUUGCAAAAGUUUGUAUAUGCAGCCUCUCUUCUGUAGUCAACUCCUUUAUAAUGGCUAAACCUAGAAUUUCUUUUACUCAAACUCGACAUGAUCCAAAUCAGUUGCUCCCAGUCAGGAGCUGAUUUGAGUCUAGCGCCAAAUCACCUCAAACUUUUAUGGGCCAAUCUGUCUCUCUGUGUUGGCAUCAUGAGCCAUUUGUCCCACUCCGCUUGAUAGCAGGUUAUGACACAGCAAGGCAGAAACCUAGAAGGAUUUACCUAGGUAUAAAUUGGACCAUUGCAUCAGCACACAUCUCCUGCUCUCGCCCUAUUUUAGAUAUAAUGUUAUUUUGUUCUCAUACAUUCGUGCUUUGCUCCUUAUUUUGCAGUUGUGCAUAUAUCUAAUAAAAGUGGAAGGAUACCAUAUGCCACUUUUUUCUAAUAUAAGAUAACCCUUUAUAUUUUAUUUUUUCUCUUAAUGUAGGACAACUAGAUUUAUAUACUCUCCAUAGUAGCUCCUUUUGACAAGAAAGAAAGCAACAGAAGUGUCGUUCAUACAUGUAAAAAGAUUAAUUUGCAGCAGCAAAUUAUAAUUCCACAGGUCUGAAUUGUGUGUAUAUACAUACAUGUGAAAAAAUUAAUUUGCAAGGACAGGUAAAAAUUCCACAUGUCCGACUUGGUAAAUUACACGUCCUGCUAUCCCCUUUUUUGUUUUUAACUAAUCUGGUGUAUCUGACAGCACCUUUUUGGGUUGAAACGCGUGGAAUAAUAGCACUGAUCCUUAGAGACUUCAUCCAACGAGGUAAUUGGCACUUACCAAAGCCUGUUCUCCAUACGUGUAAGACUCUAUUGGUCCGUUGCAUGAUUUAUGAAGACUAACAUUUUAUUGUCCCACUUAGUUUGUGUCUUGCAUGUGUUAUGUUUAUUUCUAUGUAAAUAGCAUUGAUAUCGCCACUUGGAUUAACUUCGUUGAGAGAACAUUUUAUAGGUAGUAGGUAACACUUACAUCAACUUGCUUUGCUUACACGUUGAUAGAACACUUUAUAGGUAGCAGUUGCAUUAUCCUGUUUUCCUUACAUGUAAGGCAUCACCGAUCCGUUGCAUGAUAUGCGGUGAUAAUAUGUUAUUUAGCCUCUUAAAUACUUUAACCCAUUACUUUUGUGUGUUCCAUGUGCUUUAUGAUCUAUUUAUUUAACUAUUUACAUAUACUGAGAGAUUACUACGUCAACAAUAGAUUUAUUCUAUUUACAAUAACCUUCUCUUGCAUAACGCAGAAAAUAUGGUAAACAAUUCCUAUUUAAUAUUGGUUGGAUACAACCUAAUCACAUCUAUUUGCCAGGCACAACACAUGUUUGCAUAUUCUCGUGCUCUAAAAAAAUACAGAGAUAAAUUUGUAUAACAAUACAUUUAGCUUCUAUAUGUUCCUAAAGUUACAUAGAUGUCUCCUCUUAAUACCACAAUAAAGAUAUUGGAUCCAUUCUCCCCUGAUACAUGUUUUCUAAAGAAAAAAAGAGAAAACUACUGCACUUCUACUUUAAACUAGCAAAAUGAAUUGACAGUUCUUAUUGUACUUAAUCACAGGACGAUGACCAAUAUAGAAGUUACCUUAACAAAGACAAAUUGUCAUCACCACCCAAAAAGUAUGUGGCACAUAUAGGAUCAAGACUAGCCAACUUCACAAACUUCAAUCAGAUUCUACAGACCCCAAAAACGAUAACCAUUAGAUCGUUGUGAAUUACAUGAAGGUAUGACAUUAUUGUCGGCGUUUCGAGACCGGGGGGUCCCUGGGCCGACGAGUGAAUGUCGUCGCGUGCCCCAGCCCAGAUUGGUCGAGCGCGAGGGCGAGCGCGAAGGGGGGAGAGCGAGGCGGCCGGAGACCGGCGUGAGAGAGGUGGGAAUCCCGCGGCCUUCGUGUUCGUCCCGCGCUCAGGUCGGGUGCGCUUGCAGUAGGGGGUUACAAGCGUCCACGCGGGAGAGGGAGCGAGCGCCUGUUCUCGUCCUCGUCCCCGCGCGGCCAACCUUCUCUAAGAGGGCCCUGGUCCUUCCUUUUAUAGGCGUAAGGAGAGGAUCCAGGUGUACAAUGGGGGGGUGUAGCAGAGUGCUACGUGUCUAGCGGGGGAGAGCUAGCGCCCUAAGUACAUGCCGUCGUGGCAGCCGGAGAGAUUUUGGCACCCAGCUGGUGUGAUGCCGUGGCCAUCGGAGGAGCGAUGGAGCCUAGCGGAGGGACAGCUGUCGGAGCGGUUGGGUCCUUGCUGACGUCCUCUUGCUUCCGUAAGGGGGCUGAGAGUCGCCGUCGUCACAGAGCAUGCGGGGCGCCAUCAUUGCCUAUCUGGCGGAGCUAGCCAGAUGGGACGCCGGUCUGGUUCCCUGUGGCCCGAGUCAGCUCGGGGUAGGGUGAUGAUGGCGCCUCCUGUUGACAUGGCUGGCCUGCGCCCUAGGUUGGGCGAUGCGGAGGCUCCUCCGAAGCCGAGGUCGAGUCUGUCUUCCGUGGCCGAGGCCAAGUCCGAGCCCCUAGGUCGGGCGAGGCGGAGGUCGUCGGCUGAGGCCAGGGCGGAGUCCGAGCCCUGGGGUCGGGCGAAGCGGAGUUCGUCGUCUUCUGGGACUUAGCCCGAGUCCGAGCCCUGGGUCGGGCGGAGCGGAGUUCGCCGUCUUCCGGGACUUAGCCCGAGUCCGAGCCCUGGGUCGGGCGGAGCGGAGUUCACCGUCUUCCGGGACUUAGCCCGAGUCCGAGCCCUGGGUCGGGCGGAGCGGAGUUCGCCGUCUUCCGGGACUUAGCCCGAGUCCGAGCCCUGGGUCGGGCGGAGCGGAGUUCGCCGUCUUCCGGGACUUAGCCCGAGUCCGAGCCCUGGGUCGGGCGGAGCGGAGUUCGCCGUCUUCCGGGACUUAGCCCGAGUCCGAGCCCUGGGUCGGGCGGAGCGGAGUUCGCCGUCUUCCGGGACUUAGCCCGAGUCCGAGCCCUGGGUCGGGCGGAGCGGAGUUUCCUAUGGUGCCUCCGGCGGGGCCUGACUGCCUGUCAGCCUCACUCUGUCAAAUGGCACCGCAGUCGGAGUGGCGCAGGCGGCGCUGUCCUUCUGUCAGGCCGGUCAGUGGAGCGGCGAAGUGACGGCGGUCACUUCGGCUCUGCCGGGGGGCGCGCGUCAGGAUAAAGGUGUCAGGCCACCUUUGCAUUAAAUGCUCCUGCAACUUGGUCGGUCGGUGCGGCGAUUUAGUCAGGGUUGCUUCUUAGCGAAGGCAGGGCCUCGGGCGAGCCGGAGAUAUGUUCGCCGUUGGAGGGGGGCCUCGGGCGAGACGGAAAUCCUCCGAGGUCGGCUGCCCUUGUCCAAGGCUAGGCUCGGGCGAGGCGUGAUCGAGUCGCUCGAAUGGACUGAUCCCUGAUGUGGUCGCACCCAUCAGGCCUUUGCAGCUUUAUGCUGAUGGGGGUUACCAGCUGAGAAUUAGGAGUCUUGAGGGUACCCCUAAUUAUGGUCCCCGACAGUAGCCCCCGAGCCUCGAAGGGAGUGUUAGCACUCGCUUGGAGGCUUUCGUCGCACUUUUUUUUGCAAGGGGACCAACCUUUCUCGGUUGCGUUUUGUUCCGGUGGGUGCGCGCGAGCGCACCCACCGGGUGUAGCCCCCGAGGCCUCGGAGGAGUGGUUUCACUCCUCCGAGGUCUUAAUGCCUCGCGUAAUGCUUCGGCUGGUCUGGUUGUUCCCUCAUGCGAGCUGGCCGUAGCCCGGGUGUACGGUCGGGUCCCAAGUUCUCGGGCUGGUAUGUUGACGCUGUCAACGAUUCGGCCGGAGUCGGGUUUGCGAGAGCAACCCCCGAGCCUCUGCACAGGGCGAGAGGGCGAUCAGGGACAGACUCGGCUUUUUUACAUACGCCCCUGCGUCGCCUUUCCUCAAGGAGGAGGGGGGGAAGCGCCAUGUUGCCCUCGAUGGGCGCCGAACAUGGUGUCUCCGGUGAGCUGCAAGCGGGUAAUCCGAGUGGACGUCCGUGCCCCGUUCGUUAGGGGUCGGCUAGGGGCCCAGAGGCACGCCCAAAAGUACCUGCGGGUGAUCUGCCGGACCCGGUCCCCUGGCGACAGGGUCCGAGGGCUCGAUGCCUCCCUCUGAUGGGAUUCCGUUACAAGAUCGCUCCCGCUGGUCUCGGAAAUGUCCUAGGGUACCUCGGGAGCGCAGCCCGAGCCUUGGUUAUGUAUCGAACGUACCCAUGGUCAUCCCUUGCUCGGCGUCUGAGGCGGCUGUGAACCCUUCGGGGGCCAGCCUUCGAACCCCUGAUCAGUAAUGGGCACGGAGCCCGAGUAGCCUGAGGCGGCCGUGGAACCCUUCGGGGGGCCGGCCUUCGAACCUCUGACCAGUAGUGGGUGUAGGGCCCACGCGAUCUGAGGCGGCUGUUGAACCCUUCGGGGGGCCAGCCUUCGAACCUCUGAUCAGUAGGGAGGCUCGGAGCCUGGUUCCUUCACGGGGAAGGACCCUUUUCGGGGUAUCCCCCUUUCCCGGUCCCUGUUGCAAGAGAGAGAGAAAGAGGAAAAAGGAAAAGGAUACGAAAUCGAACGACGCGACGUACCUUUACUGGCGCGGUCAUUAUGGCGAAGGCGAAGCGUCGCUCGCUUCUCCUGCCAGAGGCGCCGCCUGUCCCGCCGCGGAGUUAAUGCGAUGGGGCGAGUGGUUGGCGGGGCGGUCGUUGCGCGUGCGCGAGCCGCUCGAGGAACGGAACACGGGCGCGUUGUCUCGCUGCCCCUGGAUGGGAUGUGAGCUUGGCUGACGACGUGACUGCUGCUCCUGCCCGCCUGCCACCGUCAUUACUGUCGGCCCAUCUUUGGCUGCACUGACCGCCGCGCCAGGCUGGCGCUGCUGGGUCGUGCGCUGGGUCGCCUCGAGUCACGGUAUUGGUUCCGCAGUCGAGGAGGCGCGGUGGUGGCGCAAGUGGCGGUGCAGUUGCAUGCACGAAGCAGUCGGCGCGCCGGUUGCAUGACGCGUGGGCCUGGGCCUCCAGGCUGGGCGUGUUGGGAGUCGGAGAAGCGCGCCCACUUGGCGCGGUUGCAUGCCGCUUGCAUGGCUGCCCGCCCCUUUUGCCUGUUGGUCGGGGCAAAAGUGGAGGGUCACUUGUAACCGCUGGGCGGUCGCGUGCACCGCGCGCGGCGGUUUGGCUUCUUCUGCUCUGAGCCGGCUUGCAUGACAUGUGGGACCCAGCCCCCGCGCCGCAGGGGAGGGCCUUGGAGCGUGUUGGAGAAGACUCAGCCCGUGACGGCUGGGGACGCGAAUAGGGACAGUCGCCUUUUAAAAGGAGGGUGACCCCCUUGGAAGGCGACCAUGUCUUCGCGCUCCCUUAUGCAUCGUGUCUUUCCACCUUCCAAGCCCCCGGAUGGGGGAGAUCCGCCGUCUUUCCGCCCCGUCGUUGGGGGAACGCAACUCCGCGGGAGUUGGUACCUUUCAGCCAUCAUUCGGCUUCAAGGAUUUUCAUCAUGCAGCCCGGCUGCACCCCUCCGUCGGCGGUCACCCAAGAUGGUGACCUCCAGCUUGAUGGUGGGGGAAAGCGAGCUAGGCUGCGGCCUCUGCCCCUCCCUCAGCCUCAAGGAUUUUCAUCACUAGGGCUGGGGAGGGGAGUGUGCCGAGUUGGGGUCGGCCUCUGCGUGGACGGUGGCCCGCUCCUUCACUUAGUGAUCGGAGGGAAGGGCGGUCGUCGUCCGUGGCGCCGGCAGCUGCACCGUGCCUCGCCCUCGGACGUGAGUGGCUUCAGAGCCGCUCGCGGCGCCGGCGUCUGCCACGGCAGCUGGAAGAGGUUCUUCCACCGACAAGAUAGCCAAGGCCGGCCACGGACCGACCUCCAACUCUACGGCCUUCUGCCCGUCCUUGCCUCACGAGUUUGGGCAUGGGCGGGGGCCUCUUGGCAGUAGCAUCCGCCCUGAGGUCAGUGCUGCCGCUGUUCGGCCCCCCGGAGCAGAAGUCGUCGUCGUCGCUGCUGCUGGAGCGGGCGACGGCGCGCCGUUCGUCGGUCUUCUGUUGCUCCGCAGGCCCUCCCCCACCGAGUGGGGUUGUUUGUCCCUGCGGAGGGGGAACUGGAGUUCCGUUUGUAAUGACACUUUGAAUGCCAGUGUUUUUUGUUCAUUGUGGCUGUCGAGGCCUGAACAUGUAUGUAAUUUUGGCACGGAGCUGUGUUUUUUCCUCAUUUUCGAGCACUAGGACUCGCCUGUUGGUCGUCUGAACCGCUUCACCAAGCGUGAGUCGCCCCGUGUCAAGGUGACGAGUGAGGUAUCCGUAUCCCGGAGGCGUAGGAGUCCCUCGGCUCGGUCGGCCUUGUUGUCUGAGGCUUCUCUAGCUUAGUUAAAGGGACCCCUUGGCCGCUCUUCGAUGAGCCGAGGCCAGGGGUAGCGAUAUCAGCAUGAACAGGGGCAGAGUUGGCUCAAAAAUGAAACCUGGUUGGCCGGAGCCCAGCCGGGUCGUCCGUUAGCGGGACCGACGCCGGGGUUGACCAGCCGAGGCCUCGGGUCGGGCUGGCGCCCUUGGAAGAUGGUUGGCCGAGGCCCCAGAGUGACCGGCCGAGCCGCCUGCUCGGGCCAGAUUUCCGGAGAAGACCCUGGCAGCGAUUGCCCGAGUGUGGCGAUGACGUCGUCCUUUAGAGCGGAGAUCCUUGGACCGCGUCGCCGUCUGAGGCUAGGUCGGACCUCGCCGAAGGUGUCGUCGAUGCCGAGGGUGCUGCUGCCCCCUUCCAGCGUCAAGACCCGAGCCUGCAGGAUCAGAUCGUCUUGUAGCGUGUGUCUCCUACGGCCGCCGAGGCCAGAACACACACCCUCGCUGUGUUGUAAAGCUGCGUCUUUUUUCUUCUUGUUUCGAGUAUCUGGACUUUUUUGUCGGCAACAGGGAUGUUUGUGCGAGCGAGAGUUGCUUCUCGCGGAAGGAGAUGAGUGAGGUAUUCGUAUCCCGGAGGUGUAGGAGUCCCUCGGCUCGGUCGGCCUUGCCGCUUACGCGCACUUUUACCCGUCCAUGAGGCUCUGUCACCGACUCAGUCGAGAAGGCUCGAAGGAUCACUUCGGCAGAAGAACUUCCGAACGUGAAGAUCUGUUCGGUCCGCGGAACCACUUAUCCGAACGUGAGUUACUUAUCGCAGAAGGUGAUGAGUGAGGUAUCCGUAUCCCGGAGGCGUAGGAGUCCCUCGGCUCGGUCAGCCUUGGCUGCUUACGUGUACUCCGUCGUUUUCAGGAUCCACUUUUCGAAGUAGUCAAAAAGCACGAAAGACAUUCUGGCAUAAGAGAUCUUUUUUCGAGGAAAAUUUCAACGCAGAGGGGGUUCCCCCCCCCUUUUAGCCCCCGAGGGAGGGUCGGGCUUUGCCGAGGCGAGGCCGACCCUUCCUUGAUGACUAAACUUUGCGUGGGUGCGAGGUAUAUGAACAGCUUGAAAACAUCUUAAGGGUAGAAGCGACGUAGCGUUGGAUGUUCCAAGCGUUACCGUAGACUUCGCCUUGACUGUUGGCCAGCUUGUACGUUCCGGGCUUCAGAACCUUGGCGAUGACGAAUGGCCCCUCCCAGGGAGGCGUGAGCUUGUGCCACCCUCGGGCGACUUGUCGCAGCCGAAGCACCAGGUCGCCCACCUGGAGGUCUCGGGACCGGACCCCUCGGGCGUGGUAGCGUCGCAGGGACUGCUGGUACCGCGCCGAGUGUAGCAAGGCCUGGUCCCGAGCCUCCUCCAGCUAGUCCAGCGAGUUUUCUCGGCUGACUUGGUUGCUUUGGUCGGUGUAGGCCCUCGUCCUUGGGGAGCCGUAUUCUAAGUCUGUGGGCAAGAUGGCUUCGACCCCAUAGACUAGAAAGAACGGCGUGAAGCCCGUGGCUUGGCUCGGCGUUGUCCUCAGACUCCAGACCACCGAGGGGAGUUCCUUCAUCCAUCGCUUGCCGAACUUGUUGAGGUCGUUGUAGAUCCGAGGCUUGAGCCCUUGUAGGAUCAUGCCGUUGGCACGCUCUACUUGUCCAUUUGACAUGGGAUGAGCCACGGCGGCCCAGUCCACCCGGAUGUGGUGAUCCUCGCAGAAGUCCAAGAACUUUCUGCCGGUGAACUGGGUGCCAUUGUCGGUGAUGAUGGAGUUCGGGACCCCGAAGCGAUGGAUGAUGUUGGUGAAGAACGCCACCGCCUGCUCGGACCUGAUGCUGUUCAGAGGUCGGACCUCAAUCCACUUGGAGAAUUUGUCGAUGGCGACCAGCAGGUGCGUGUAGCCCCCGGGUGCCUUCUGCAAGGGGCCGACGAGGUCCAGACCCCCACACGGCAAAGGGCCAGGUGAUGGGUAUUGUCUGCAGAGCCUGAGCGGGCAGGUGGGUCUGCUUCGCAUAGAAUUGACACCCUUCGCAUGUGCGGACGAUUCUGGUAGCGUCGGCCACCGUCGUCGGCCAGUAGAAGCCUUGCCGGAAAGCGUUCCCGACAAGGGCUCGAGGCGCUGCGUGAUGGCCGCAAGCCCCCAAGUGUAUCUCUCGCAGGAGUUCCUGACCUUCGGCGAUGGAGAUGCAUCGCUGGAGGAUGUCUGAGGGGCUGCGGUGGUAGAGCUCCUUCUCAUCUCCCAGCAAGACGAACGACUUGGCGCGCCGCGCCACCCGCCGAGCCUCGGCUCGGUCGAGGGGUAGCUCUCCUCGGUGGAGAUAUUGCAGGUACAGGGUCUGCCAGUUUCGAUUAGGCGCGACCCCGCUUUGCUCCUCCUCGACGCGCAGUGUCUCACCCUCGGGGGCCGAGGGUACCUCGGACUGAACCGAGGGCGCCUCGGGCCGAGCUGAGGGUGCCUCGGGAUGAGCCGAGGGCGCCUCGGGUUGAGCCGUGGGUGCCUCGGACUGGGUCGAGGGUACCUCGGGCUCGGACGUGUCGUCGAUCUUGACGGAGGGUUGAUGCAGGUCUCGGGAGAAGAUGUCCGGGGGAACCAUCGUUCGCCCCGAGGCUAUUUUAGCCAGCUCGUCCGCAGUCUCGUUGUAGCGCCGAGCGAUGUGGUUGAGCUCGAGCCCGUAGAACUUGUCUUCCAGGCGCCGAACCUCAUCGCAGUAGGCCUCCAUCUUCGGGUCGCGGCAAUGGGAGUUCUUCAUGACUUGGUCGAUGACGAGCUGCGAGUCACCACGAGCGUCGAGGCGUCGAACUCCUAGCUCGAUGGCGAUCCGCAACCCGUUGACCAGAGCCUCAUAUUCGGCCACAUUGUUGGACGCCGGGAAGUGGAGGCGUAGCACGUAGCGUAGAUGCUUUCCGAGGGGUGAGACGAAGAGUAGGCCUGCGCCGGCCCCUGUCUUCAUCAGUGACCCGUCGAAGAACAUGGUCCAGAGCUCCGGUUGGAUCGGAGCCGUCGGUAGCUGGGUGUCGACCCAUUCAGCCACGAGUCCGCCAAGACCUGGGACUUAAUGGCUUUCUGGGGAGCGAACGAGAUUGUCUCGCCCAUGAUCUCCACCGCCCACUUUGCAAUCCUACCCGAGGCCUCUCGGCACUGGAUGAUCUCUCACAGGGGGAAGGAUGACACCACAGUUACCGGAUGAGACUCAAAGUAGUGUCGCAGCUUCCGUCGCGUUAGGAUCACCGCGUACAGCAACUUCUGAACUUGUGGGUAGCGGAUCUUGGUUUCGGACAGUACCUCACUGACGAAGUAGACUGGCCUCUGAACGGGCAAUGCACGCCCCUCUUCUUGCCUCUCGACCACAAUCGCGGCGCUAACCACCUGGGUGGUUGCGGCGACGUAGACCAGGAGGGCUUCUCCGGCAGCUGGGGGCACCAAGAUAGGCGCCUUUGUGAGGAGCGCCUUCAGGUUCCUGAGGGCUUCCUCGGCCUCAGGGGUCCAAGUGAAGCACUCGGCCUUCCUUAAGAGGCGGUACAGAGGUAAACCUCUUUCGCCGAGGCGUGAGAUGAAGCGGCUCAGAGCCGCGAGGCAUCCCAUGACCCUCUGUACGCCUUUCAAGUCCUUGAUGGGCCCCAUGCUGGUAAUGGCUGCGAUCUUCUCCGGGUUGGCUUCGAUGCCCCGCUCGGCGACGAUGAACCCCAAGAGCAUGCCUCGGGGCACCCCGAAGACACACUUUUCGGGAUUGAGCUUGACACCUUUCGCCUUGAGACACUGGAAUGUCGUUUCAAGGUCGGAAAGGAGGCCGGAGGCCUUCCUCGUCUUGACUACAAUGUCAUCGACGUAGGCCUCGACUGUGCGGCCAAUGUGUUCGCCGAACACAUGGUUCAUGCACCGCUGGUACGUCGCGCCCGCAUUCCUCAAACCGAACGGCAUGGUGACAUAGCAGUACAUGCCGAAGGGUGUGAUGAAAGAAGUCGCGAGCUGGUCGGACUCUUUCAUCUUGAUUUGAUGAUACCCUGAGUAGGCAUCGAGGAAAGACAGGGUUUCGCACCCAGCAGUGGAAUCCACGAUUUGGUCGAUGCGAGGCAGAGGGUAGGGAACCUUCGGACAUGCUUUGUUGAGACCAGUGUGGUCUACACACAUCCGCCAUUUCCCCCCUUUCUUUCUCACAAGCACAGGGUUGGCAAGCCAUUCAGGAUGGAAUACCUCUUUGAUGAACCCUGCCGCCAUUAGCUUGUGGAUCUCCUCGUCUAUCGCUCUGCACUUCUCCUCGUCGAAUCGGCGCAGAGACUGCUUGACGGGUCGGGCUCCGGCCCGAAUAUCCAGUGAGUGCUCGGCGACAUCCCUCGGUAUGCCGGGCAUGUCCAAGGGACUCCACGCGAAGACGUCGGCGUUCGCGUGGAGGAAGUCGACGAGCACUGCUUCCUAUUUGGGAUCGAGCCCGGAGCCGAUCCGGAUCUGCUUGGAGGCGUCGCCGCUGGGGUCGAGUGGGACAGCCUUAACCGUCUCCACUGGCUCGAAGUUGCCGGCAUGACGUUUCACGUCUGGCACCUCCUUGGAGAGGCUUUCCAGGUCGGCGAUGAGGGCCUCGGACUCGGCGAGGGCCUCGGCGUACUCCACGCACUCCGCGUCGCAUUCGAACGCGUGCUUGUACGUGGGGCCGACGGUGAUGACCCCGUUGGGGCCCGGCAUCUUGAGCUUCAGGUAGGUGUAGUUGGGGACGGCCAUGAACUUCGCGUAGCAUGGCCUCCCCAGUACCGCGUGGUAGGUUCCUUGGAACCCGACCACCUCGAACGUCAGGGUCUCCCUUCGGAAGUUGGAGGGCGUUCCGAAGCAGACGGGGAGGUCGAGUUGUCUGAGGGGCUGGACGCGCUUCCCAGGAAUGAUCCCAUGGAAGGGCGCAGCGCCUGCUCGGACGGAGGACAGAUCGACGCGCAGGAGCCCGAGUGUCUCGGCGUAGAUGAUGUUGAGGCUGCUGCCUCCGUCCAUGAGGACCUUGGUGAGCCUGACGUCGCCGAUGACGGGGUCGACGACGAGCGGGUAUUUCCCCGGGCUCGGCACGUGGUCGGGGUGGUCAGCUUGGUCGAAGGUGAUAGGCUUGUCGGACCAGUCUAGGUAGACUGGCGCCGCCACCUUCACCGCGCAGACCUCCCGGCGCUCUUGCUUGCGGUGCCGAGCUGAGGCAUUCGCCGCUUGUCCACCGUAGAUCAUGAAGCAGUCGCGGACCUCGGGGAACUCUCCUGCUUGGUGAUCUUCCUUCUUAUCGUCGUCGCGGGCCCGACCACCUUCCGCGGGUGGCCCGGUCCUGUGGAAGUGGCGCCGAAGCAUGACGCACUCCUCAAGGGUGUGCUUGACGGGUCCCUGGUGAUAGGGGCACGGCUCCUUGAGCAUCUUGUCGAAAAGGUUGGCACCUCCUGGGGGCUUCCGAGGGUUCUUGUACUCGGCGGCGGCGACAAGGUCCGCGUCGGCGGCGUCGCGUUUCGCUUGCGACUUUUUCUUGCCUUUCUUCUUGGCGCCGCACUGAGUCGACGCCUCGGGAGCAUCUUCCGAUGGGCGCCCCUGGGGCUGCUUGUCCUUUCGGAAGAUAGCCUCAAUCGCCUCCUGGCCGGAGGCGAACUUGGUGGCGAUGUCCAUCAGCUCGCUCGCCCUGGUGGGGGUCUUGCGACCCAACUUGCUCACCAGGUCGCGGCAGGUGGUGCCGGCGAGGAACGCGCCAAUGACAUCCGAGUCAGUGAUGUUGGGCAGCUCGGUGCGCUGCUUCGAGAAUCGCCGGAUGUAGUCCCGGAGAGACUCUCCCGGCUGCUGCCGGCAGCUUCGGAGGUCCCAGGAAUUCCCGGGGCGCACAUAUGUGCCCUGGAAAUUGCCGGCGAAGGCUUGGACUAGGUCGUCCCAGUUGGAGAUCUGCCCCGGGGGCAGGUGCUCCAACCAGGCGCGAGCGGAGUCAGAGAGGAACAGGGGGAGGUUGCGUAUGAUGAGGUUGUCAUCGUCCGUUCCACCCAGUUGGCAGGCCAGACGGUAGUCCGCGAGCCACAGAUCCGGUCUCGUCUCCCCCGAGUACUUUGUGAUAGUAGUCGGGGGUCGGAACCGGGUCGGGAACGACGCCCGUCGGAUGGCUCGGCUGAAGGCUUGCUGACCGGGUGGUUUGGGCGAGGGACUCCGAUCCUCCCCGCUGUCGUAGCGUCCCCCACGCCUGGGGUGGUAGCCUCGGCGCACCCUCUCGUCGAGGUGGGCCCGUCGGUCGCAGUGAUGGUGCUCGUUGCCGAGGCGGCCCGGGGCCGCAGGCGCGGUGUUGCGCGUGCGUCCGGUGUAGACCGAGGCUUCCCGCAUGAAUCGGGAAGUCGCUGCAUGAGGUUCCGAGGGGUAUCCCUGCCUUCGGGAGGCAGAGCUCUCGGCCCGUCGGACUGCGGCGCCUUCCAGGAGAUUCUUGAGCUCCCCCUGGAUUCGCCGGCCCUUGGUGGUUGAUGGCUCCGGCAUCGCGUGGAGAAGCAUCGCUGCGGCAGCCAGGUUCUGGCCGACGCCACUAGAUGCGAGUGGCGGCCUGACCCUGGCGUCGUCGGCGACGCGGUGCUGGAAACCCUGGGGCAGAUGACGUAUUUCUCCGGCCGGGGGUUGGCCCGCCCAUGCCUGCCCGACGUCCCGACGGAUCGGCUCAAGCGCUCCUGCUCCCUCGUCGAGCCUGACCUGCACCUCGCGGAUUUGCUCGAGCUGUGGGUCAUGACCCCUCGCCUGAACGGGGACCACAGCUAGCUCCCGUGGGAUGUCAACGUGGGGCACUGGCCUAGGGAGAUCACCGUCCUCCGGCAUGCCGAGAUGAUUGCCUUCGGAGGGACCCCCUAGAUCGACGUGGAAACAUUCGCGGCUUGGGCCACAGUCCUCGUCGCCGAGGCUGCGGCUACCGUCGGAACAGUCGGAAAGGCAGUAGUCACAUGCGGUCAUGAAGUCCCGCAUGGCACUGGGGUUGCCAAGUCCAGAGAAAUCCCAACAGAUGCUGGGCCCGUCGUCUUCCUCGGACCCAGAGGGCCCGUAGGUCGAGACGUCCGUCAGCCGGUCCCAAGGUGACCGCACACGAAACCCCAGAGGGUCUGGAUUUGCCUCUACGAGAGCGUCCGCCAAAGCGAGGUCGCUAGGCGGGUUGAGACUGAAUCCAAAUGACGUAGGAUGGGAAUCGGUCGGUACCUUUUGGUCGACGAGCGGCGAUGAAGUCACGUCGAGGACUGACUGCACCGUCAUCUCAGGUGCGAGGGUGACGUCCAGCAAGCUCUCCGCGAGCACGCUGGCGUCGUCCGCUUGCUCGGGAUGGGCGUGUCGCGGGGAGACAGCGCUCGUCUUCGACUCAGGCGCGAAGUCGAUACCCGGUGCGCCCCUCGUUGGGGUGCCGGUGCUGUCGGCUCGCUCGACAGCCAACGAGGCGCUGCCUCCUACUUGGCCUUGGUCGCCCUGCCUUCCCCCUCCGUUGGCGGGGGAAAGGGCAGGAUGAGCUCGAAGGUCGUUCUUCCACCACGCGGGGAAGACGUCGUCGAUUCCGCCGCCGGCGGGCGGGCUGCCAGCCGCCUUUGUCGUCGUCGCGCGGCGGUGGAAGGAGUAUCAUGUCGUAGCUGUCGUCGAGGGACACGAACUCAAGACUCCCGAAACGGAGCACUGUCCCGGGUUGGAGAGGUUGCUGGAGACUGCCCAUCUGGAGCUUGACGGGAAGCUGUUCAUCAACACGCAGCAGGCCCCUACCUGGCGCGCCAACUGUCGGCGUUUCGAGACCGGGGGGUCCCUGGGCCGACGAGUGAAUGUCGCCGCGUGCCCCAGCCCAGAUGGGUCGAGCGCGAGGGCGAGCGCGAAGGGGGGAGAGCGAGGCGGCCGGAGACCGGCGUGAGAGAGGUGGGAAUCCCGCGGCCUUCGUGUUCGUCUCGCGCCCAGGUCAGGUGCGCUUGCAGUAGGGGGUUACAAGCGUCCACGCGGGAGAGGGAGCGAGCGGCCCCAAGCGAGCGCCUGUUCUCGUCCUCGUCCCCGCGCGGCCAACCUUCUCUAAGAGGGCCCUGGUCCUUCCUUUUAUAGGCGUAAGGAGAGGAUCCAGGUGUACAAUGGGGGGUGCAGCAGAGUGCUACGUGUCUAGCGGGGGAGAGCUAGCGCCCUAAGUACAUGUCGUCGUGGCAGCCGGAGAGAUUUUGGCACCCAGCUGGUGUGAUGUCGUGGCCGUCGGAGGAGCGAUGGAGCCUGGCGGAGGGACAGCUGUCGGAGCGGUUGGGUCCUUGUUGACGUCCUCUUGCUUCCGUAAGGGGGCUGAGAGCCGCCGUCGUCACAGAGCAUGCGGGGCGCCAUCAUUGCCUAUCUGGCGGAGCUAGCCAGAUGGGACGCCGGUCUGGUUCCCUGUGGCCCGAGUCAGCUCAGGGUAGGGUGAUGAUGGCGCCUCCUGUUGACGUGGCUGGCCUGCGCCCUAGGUUGGGCGAUGCGGAGGCUCCUCCGAAGCCGAGCUCGAGUCUGUCUUCCGUGGCCGAGGCCGAGGCCGAGCCCCUGGGUCGGGCAAGGCGGAGGUCGUCGGCUGAGGCCCGGGCGGAGUCCGAGCCCUAGGGUCGGGCGAAGCGGAGUUCGUCGUCUUCUGGGACUUAGCCCGAGUCCGAGCCCUGGGUCGGGCGGAGCGGAGUUCGCCGUCUUCCGGGACUUAGCCCGAGUCCGAGCCCUGGGUCGGGCGGAGCGGAGUUCGCCGUCUUCCGGGACUUAGCCCGAGUCCGAGCCCUGGGUCGGGCGGAGCGGAGUUCGCCGUCUUCCGGGACUUAGCCCGAGUCCGAGCCCUGGGUCGGGCGGAGCAGAGUUCGCCGUCUUCCGGGACUUAGCCCGAGUCCGAGCCCUGGGUCGGGCGGAGCGGAGUUCGCCGUCUUCCGGGACUUAGCCCGAGUCCGAGCCCUGGGUCGGGCGGAGCGGAGUUCGCCGUCUUCCGGGACUUAGCCCGAGUCCGAGCCCUGGGUCGGGCGGAGCGGAGUUUCCUAUGGUGCCUCCGGCGGGGCCUGACUGCCUGUCAGCCUCACUUUGUCAAAUGGCACCGCAAUCGGAGUGGCGCAGGCGGCGCUGUCCUUUUGUCAGGCCGGUCAGUGGAGCGGCGAAGUGACGGCGGUCACUUCGGCUCUGCUGGGGGGCACGCGUCAGGAUAAAGGUGUCAGGCCACCUUUGCAUUAAAUGCUCCUGCGACUUGGUCGGUCGGUGCGGCGAUUUAGUCAGGGUUGCUUCUUAGCGAAGGCAGGGCCUCGGGCGAGCCGGAGAUAUGUUCGCCGUUGGAGGGGGGCCUCGGGCGAGACGGAAAUCCUCUGGGGUCGGCUGCCCUUGUCCGAGGCUAGGCUCGGGCGAGGCGUGAUCGAGUCGCUCGAAUGGACUGAUCCCUGACUUGGUCGCACCCAUCAGGCCUUUGUAGCUUUUAUGCUGAUGGGGGUUACCAGCUGAGAAUUAGGAGUCUUGAGGGUACCCCUAAUUAUGGUCCCCGACAAUUAUCUAUGCUCCUUUGUUGUGCAAAGCUUAUUAACAAUAUAGUUUGUAUAUAGUUCUUCACUAUCCCUUCUUACCAUUGCACAACAUAAUAACUGACAAGCACUUUAGGCGCAACUGAUCCUUUCUUCUUGUUUAUAUACAAAUAGUUGUUUUGCGCACCUAUGAAGGACAUAUCACUUUUGGAGCAAGAAUGCUUUUGUGUACAUAUAACCAAACUGUUAAAACCUUUCCAGUUUUGUAUAUGUUCAUGCGACCCUUACGAAUGAACUCUAAUUAACUCUUGAUAUAGGCUACUCAAAUGCUACUUACUAUUUAUUAUCAUCUCAGUUUACAACUGUUGAAAGCGCUAUAAUCUGGUUAAGCUUGGCUUUGUACUUAUGUACUUAUCUGCUCCAUAACUACUAUUUUCAUUGUACAUACGAUCACGAUACAAUAUCCAAUUCAACAUGUUUCACACUACUCUUCAGCACGCGCGCAUGAGCGCGCGCAAUUUCUAUAUAUUAAAGACGAGCACAAAGCUGCGCUCACGUUUGUCCACGUCACGCUAAAACUUUGCAGCCGUUAGAUUUUAGUUGCACAGCCAGAUUAGUCAUGUCAUGUGUACAUGCAAAUAGAGGGAUAAGUGCACUGUACACGCAAAAAAGUGGCCUUGCUGGUAUACGCUUGUCUCAACUCGAGUCGAUGGGAACCUUCUAGGAAGGACUGUUGCAAGGAUCCCGCGGCUACAAAAUGGAGUACCGCAGGCGCCGUUGUUUGCAUCGGUGGUGGGCACCCUGAUGUGGUCCGCUGCUGCUUCUUCCCACAACAUCCUCACCUAUUAGCUCCUCCCAACGCCACCGAAGUUCUCCAGAAGAAGGCACGCAGUCGCAAGGAAGAUCGUUCGGUUUCCAGAGUUAACGAUGGUUCCAGAUUUCUCUAUACAACCCCCUCACGCAGUGCCUCUAGGUGGGAGAAAACAAAAAAAGGUUCACAGGCAGCUCUGGAUACUUCAAUCCUGAGGGACAGCUUCGCCUUCAUCCAGGUCACCAGGUUCAGCGAAUCCGGCUCCUUGCAUCGCUCCUCCGAUAACCUUCUCUUCCUCAGUUUCCCUUUGAGAAUAUUCCGCACUCAAUUUUCCUCACUUCAUUUUAGGUCCUUUAUUUUUAUACCUACAACAUAUACUUUCUCUACUAUUUCGACAAGGAACUGCGCCUCUAUCUGGGUCAGCGAGUUUGGCUACUUCUACGUUGCUAUCAUUAUACUGCUUAUUGCCUCUUUUUCCUAAAGAAAAUGUUCACUACCUGCUUAGCAUACUGAUUUUUCUACUGCUUUUGUUUGAUCUGCUAAAACAAAAGGGGAAUGUAUCAUGUGCUCAUGGAGCUCUUGUGCUCAUAUGAGCACUUUAAAUCUGGUGCCUUCAUUUCUCAUCCAGGGGGUGAGGGCAGCAGUGGCACAUAGAAGAGACAGGCGGCGCAGCGUAACAAGGGUGGUCAAGGGUGGCACACAGAAGAAACUAGAAAAUGUCUAUUCACGUUUGGAUGAGAAAUAAAGGCACCAGAUUUAAAGUGAUCAUAUGAGCACAAGAGCUCCAUGAGCACAGGAUACGUUCCCAAACAAAAGGGAUAUAUAUUCAACAACGAAAAUAGAACUGAUAAAAUAAAUACUUCCACCCUUACAAGUCUCUUUUGAGUAUUUCCUCCCACCCUUGCAAACUGUGGUAUAUCAUACGCUAAAGUUGUUGUAACACGCUUCAUAUCGUCCAUCAAAUUAAGUAAUGUUCUCAUUUACUUUGUUUAUAUGAAUAAUUUACUGAAUAUAGAGAUUUUAUGCUAAGAAUAUUCCUUUUUCCCUUUUUAUUACUUUUAUUUUGUUAGUUCACCUUAAAAUGAGCAAGCUCCAUUAUUAUCGGUUGUUAUUGUUAUAGGAUUUCAGAUGAGUGCUUCCUCAAGCAUUUCCUCAGGUAGUGAUCUAGCAAAUCCACAAACACUUGAGGAAAUGCUAUCAAGAAGAUCCUGCUUCUCACAUGCGCAUCGACAGCCUUUAGAGCGCCGAUGCGCCACUCUAUCCACGUCGCACGCCAUACUUGACCAAACGAUCGGACAUAUUUGCUGCGACAGUGCACGCAAAGCGUGUGACAGCUACUAGUACACUAGUAAGAAUACAAGGCCAGCGGAAGUAGGUGCUCGCAAUGUCAAGUAUGAGCAUGAUAAAUUAGUCGUUGCUAAUGCUUAGGGACGGUGCCAUGUAAAUUUUUUGGAGACACUAAACUUAAACCGUUAAAGCAACAAAAUUUUACUAAAUCACGCACAAUAGAUAAAUGCGAUAGCUUAAAUUUGUCUUAUAUUGAAACAUGAAUGAACAAUAAAAAUAUAAAAAAUAUAUAAUAAGAAAUAUAUAAAAAAACAUGCAUGGGCGUAGCUUGUCCGGUAUGAUUCGUCCGGUGUCCAGUAUCGAGUAGUAUGAAUACUCGAUCGCGCUGAAGCGGCCCCCGGGCCCAGUUUGAAACUUCGAAUUAAAGUUGUUAUUGGGGACUUGUUCUCAAAUGCUAAGAGUUAAGAACAAGACAACAUAAAAAAUGUUAAAUGUUAAAGUCCUUCGUCCUUCGAAGCAUUAUCUCCCUUUGGAUAUAAUGAAUCUCGGACGAAGGUUAUGAAGGACAAGCCUUCAUAAGCACAAUAAAUGAUGGAGAAGGAUUCAUACACAAGAUAUGAAAAAUAAUAUAAACACUUUAAACAGUGUUAUUAACUUAUUUUUAUUUGUGUUACUGUAUUAACAAUAACAAAUUACAAAUGUACCUUCGGCUCGAAGGAAGGCAAGGGUACAAGCGUGACGCGAAAGUAAAUACCAAGUCAGCGUAAACAGUACGGGGAUACUGUUCACCUAUUUAUAGGCACGGGACACAGCCCAUGUAAAAUUACACUCAUGCCCUUUACAUUUGCUAAUGACCCUAUAGUAAUCCAUCGAGGUCUGAAUAAUCUUUUCCUUUUUAAGUCGGUUCCCUUUUCUGCUGUCAUGCCGAAGCUCUCCUGCACAUAGCUUCGGCUCUGCGCCAACCUUCGUGUUCUUUGUGCCUCUUCAUGUUGUAGUUCUGAUCCAAAUCUGAAGAUACCUGUUCAUGUAUUAUACUCCAGAAACAUUGUUAAAUCAUGUUUUUGAGGACCUUCGAAAGCCGAAGGCCCCCAACAGUAGCCCCUCGCAAUAUUAAUUUGUUAGAAUGAUAAAUUCAGAUUGCGAUAUGGACGAAUGUCUUAAGUCGAAGGUCCGAAAAAACAUCUUCCCUUUGCUAGAAUAGCAAUAGUCAAUGACAAGUGGGGCCCUGCCACUUGCAACGUAUUGGGCGUAUAAAUAAGAACGCACCGCGAGCACAUUUAGCACGCUUUCUUGCCGUCUGCUCUUGCCUUCCUAAUUUUUAGCUCUUUGCACACCAACGCUUGCCUGGCUUUUUAAAUUUUUAAGCUUCGUCUUUGAGAGCACUUUCUUAGCAUUUUCGAAGAUGUCUGAAGACAAGAAAGCUGUCGCUGAGUCGAAGCUAAGCCUUUCCGAAGAGAUGAAUCUCGGCUUCCUUGAAUCAAUAAUAGCAAAGACAAACACAGAGAAGAUUACUAAGGAGAUUUUAGAGGGCCUAUCUGAAGACACUGGUGAUAGUGACAAUUAUGAUGUGGAAAGUGGCGGUGAAGAUUCCGAAGAUCGACCCUGGCGACCAAGCCAUGCAGUUUUUGGAAAAUCAAGCAUUAAACAAAGCCAUCUUGUCAAUAUGUAGGGUAGAUAUUUUUGGGAUUUAUCUAUUGUGAGGGCUGACGAAGGAGAGAAAACUUGUCCGACUCCCGAGGAGAAUGAAGUCGUGAUAUUCCGAAGUUUCUUUAAGGCUGGGCUUCGGUUUCCUUUGAGCAGUUUCGUGGUAGAACUUUUGAAGAUAUUUGAAAUCUGCCUUCAUCAAAUUACUCCCGAAGCAAUCAUAAGGAUGGGAAUCUUCGUAUGGGUCGUGAAGAGCCAAGGUUUGGAGCCAAAUGCAAAAAGUUUCUGUAGCAUGCAUGAGUUAUUAUAUGAGACAAAACCCUGGGGUAAAGAGCAAUACCAUAACAAUUUUGGAUGUUACAGCUUCGGUGCUCGCUCUGGGUCAAGCUGUCUCGUGCCAACUUUUCGGAAGAGAUGGCCUAGGGACUGGAUGAAGGAAUGAUUCUAUGUGAAAAACGACUUGAAGACACGAGAAGAUAUUAAACAUAUCAUCAUGCGCACCAUCUGGCAGCGUUUUGGCCUUCGGAAACCGAAGAUGGAUAUUGACGAAGCAGCCGAAGAAUGCCGGAGAGCCUUCGAUGUAGUUUGUUCUUUCAUCGGGACGAGGGAUUUGAUCCAGGAGCAUAUUGCCUUCAGAGUAUGGCCACUUGCGAAAAAGUGGGAAAUACCAAAGGAAACCAUCAGCAAACCUGACGAAGGUGGACUAGUUAGGCUAAAAUAUACCUUCAGAUAUGGAGAUCAGUUUGUCGAGCCAGAUGAUGACUGGCUGAAAUGUAUUGAGGCCACAAGCGAUGGACUGCUUGGACCAUAUUCGAAGGCAGAAGAUACUGCACUGUCUGCAGCCUUCGGAGGCCGGAAGAAGAAAAGGCUCAAUCGAGUAUUUGAUGCCAUUGGGUUCGUCUAUCCUGACUACCGUUACCCAACACGGGGUUAAAAAACGAAAGAUACGACUUCUGUGAAGGAAGUCGCUUCAUCCGCUCUUAAUGAGCCAUCGCCGAAGAGGAAAAAGAUGAAGGUUCUUACACACCAGCCACACUAUAUUGAACCGGCCACAGUGCCCGAGUUUACUGGUGAAACCUCUUCGGCCACCGAAGCCAAGGAGCUGACUCCCCUGCCGAAUAUUGAAGAGCCGGUCUUAAUGCCGGAGAUGGAGAAAAUAGAAGAACCAAAGGCUAAAGAAACAAGGGCAUCUAAAAUUUUAAGUCCUUCAGCAAAAGUUGAAGUACCAAAAAGCCAAAAGGGUCCAGCAAUGACCCCCAAAAGAAAAAGGAUGGUUAAUGUACUGGAUGUAUUGGAGACAAUAAAGUCUUCAAGCACUACUCCGAAGAAAAUUGCCGAAACUCCCGAAGUGCAAAUCGAAGCCUUUGGUGUCGAAGCUUUAAAGCACCAAGCUGAGACUGAAGCUGGGCCUUCAGAGCCCGCCAAGGUGAAAUCCUUGGAAACCAAAGAAACAGAAGCAGCAGAACAAAUUUUGGCUGAAGAAACUGGCACUGCCGCCCCCGAAGCAUUUUCCGAAGCUUUCAAUUAUAUUUUUACGACAUGCUUCGGGGAAAGAGUUGACUGAAAAAGAAAAGCAAGAGGCUCAGUUCUAUGGCCAAAAACUAAAAUAUCCAAAGGGGGCGUUGAUAUUCAACGGCAGCGGAGAAGAAGACUUCUUGUAUUGUCUCCCUGACAGCAAGGAGAUUUCUGUCUGUCGGGAGAUGAGCAAGAGCUUCGGAUUCCCAACAUUAGAAGACGGGCUCUCGGUGUUGUCAAAAAACGAGCUGGCCGACAGCUUGGCGUACAAUAGCUUAAAGGUGAAAAAAUGAGAUCUUUGUAUUAUUCCUUGAAACCAAAAUUUUUCGUUUGCCUGAACUUAUUAACGCAAUUUUUACAGGGCCUUAUACUUAGCAAUGCCCUCAGGGCACAAAAAGAUGCCGAAGACGAAGGGUGUACCAUAGCCUUGAGCAACCUUCGUUCCGAAGUAAUUGAACUAAGGAACGAAGGUCUCGAAAAAGAUAAAAUAUUACAUUCGCUGGUGAAUAGAAUAAAAGAAGAUGAAGCUGCUUUCAAAGCUCAAGCUGAGGCUCAGAAGCGCGAAAUUGAGGAUCUUCGGAAAUAGCUAGCCAGAGCUAAAGAAGAAUGCACGGUUGAAGAAGCCAAACGAGAAAUUAGUGAACAAUGGGCAAAUCAUCUAGAGAAAAACGUCGAAGAGCUUCGUGCAUCCAAGAAAAGGUGUUAUGAAAAAUCUGUAGAAUGUGUUAAGAAAAUAAGAACCAGCUUCGCCAGCGUUGGCGCAUUCUCAAGUGAAGAAAAUUUCAUAAGGGGCAACCCCGAGGGCCCAAUUGGAUGGAUCAGCCACGAAGCUGAAGCUUUUGAAGAAGUUUUGAAUAGCCGCGGAGACAUUUGUGCCUUCUCAGGUGCUAGGGGGAUUGCCACUGUUUUGGAGAAAAAAGGCUGCGAUCACGUGAAAUCCUUGGCACAAACCGAAGCCGACUUGUCCCCUGAAGACAUAAAAGACCCUUCAGCCGAGGCAAGUCUGGUUGGUGGAAAAAUUUUCACCGACAUCUGGGACAAUGGUGGCCGGGAGAUGACCCAAGAAAUUAUACGAAAAAGCGAGAAAGGUAUUCAUGACGCUAGAAAAGUAGCAGAGGCCGCUGAGAAAAGUGCGGAUCUCGAAGGGCAAAUAGGUAUUGACUAGUAGUUUUUGGCUCUUUGUUGUAAUUUUUUGAUUUCGAACUUGUUUACACUUUGUAACACAGCCGCACUUUCUCCUCCCUCAGAGCCUGUCGAGCCAUCGACGGUCCCCCACGCGAAGGGGGACGACGAAAUUAGAAAAAUGGCCGAAGCUAUCAUGGAUAAAGUUGUUGAUCAACUACUAAACGAAGCUGCAGAAGUAGUUCUAAGGGAAGAUUAGAUGUUAUUGUAAAAAUAUUUGGAAUGUAAUAUUUGUUGAACAACAUGUGUAAUAUUUUGUAACUUUGAAUGUAAUAUAUAAGAUAUUUAUGGUUCAAUUCUUUACGAUGCAUGAAACUUUACAUACAUACCGUUUUUUGAGCCUUCGGCGAAAAAACACAUUCCCUUCUUUUCAUGCUUCGUAAAUAAUAUCUGUAUUUUCAUAAAAACAUCCAAUCGUCGUAAAAUUAGUAACCAAUAGAUCCUUUCAUUUCGGAGUUUGACGAAGGUAUGCUUCUUCGAUAAUUAUUCUUGUGCCUUGGCACUGUUUCUUCGAAACAAUCUUCAAAUAUCAACAUUGAACCCCCUUCUUGCAUCAUUGAUGCAAUAUGAUGUAUGAUGUUAUGCUAUGCAAAUGAUGUGAUGAUGUGAUGUUAUGCAAAAUGAUAUUUGCCGAAGAUCGACGUUUAUUUUUCACUGUAAGCCUCCCUUAGGAGCUUCUUCGCCUUUUACUUCAACGGAAUCAGUGUUUAUUUUUCGCUGUAAGCCUCCCUUAGGAGCUUCUUCGCCUUUUACUUUCAGCGGAAUCAGCGUUUAUUUUUCGCUGUAAGCCUCCCUUAGGAGCUUCUUCGCCUUUUACUUUCAGCAGAAUCAGCGUUUAUUUUUCGCUGUAAGCUCUGCAUUCCCUUCGGAACGACUUUUGAGCAGAAAACUUACGCUGCGCUCCCUUAGGAACAACUUUUUGUUAUUUCGGAGAUUCUCCUUGUAGCCAUAAAUUCUUAUGCUUCAGCAACUCCGUUAUUCUGUGAAGAAGGUAUAUUUUUACUGUGGCGAAAACAAAGCUAUUACAAGAAAUUGAAAACGACAAAAAACACUUAGGCUUUCAAUAAUUAUUCCUUAUUAAAAAGAAAAUGAUACUGAAUGUAAAAACUGCUGCCAAGGUAGGAUAUUUGUUAGUAAAUAUGCUUCAAUUCUGGCACAGUACUAUUGACUGUGCGAGCUUCGGACUCUUCUCUGAAGUCCCGUUGGAGGUGGGUAUGUUAACUCCCUUCUGGUUGCUGGCCUCGUUGCAUUGGUGGUGGAGGUGGAGGCUGUUGCCAAGAUGCCUGAGGUUGGCUUGUCGAAGCAAUAGAAGCUGCAGGGUGGUUGCCUAUAUACUCUGGAAUGUAAGGCGAAUGGUACGAAGCAGUGUGCAUAACUUGCUUCGGCUGGCUCUGUUGGGCUGCAGCUUCUGCUAUCUCCUUUUGUUUCUGGAUGGUAACAUGACACAUUCUGGUGGUAUGGCCCUUGUCCUCACCACAGAAUAGGCAAUAAAUCUUCCUGGGCUGAUUCCCAAAUCUUCCUCCGAAGCCCCUGGCACCUCUGCCCCUUGGAGCUGGAGGCCGAGGAUAGCUCUGCUGCUGCCCCGAAGCCUGGGAGGAAUAUUGCGGCCUCUGCUGCUGGCUUCCCCUGUCAUCACUCCGAGUGUUAUGAAUCGAUCUGACAUGUCUAGGAUGAAUUCUUCCUCCGAAGCCCCUGGCUAUUUCGGAGAACCUGUAAGCUUCCUCCCUUCUCUGUCGAAAGUCAUUGUCAGCGCAGAUGUAUUCAUCCAUCUUCUGAAGCAGUUUUUCUAGUGUCUGAGGGGGCUUCCUGGCAAAGUAUUGGGCUGAAGGUCCUGGCCGGAGCCCCUUAAUCAUGGCCUCAAUAACAAUUUCAUUGGGCACUGUUGGCGCUUGUGCCCUCAGGCGUAAGAACCUUCGGACAUACGCCUGAAGAUAUUCUUCGUGAUCUUGGGUGCACUGGAACAAAGUUUGAGCGGUGACUGGCUUCGUUUGAAACCCUUGGAAACUGGUGAUCAACAUAUCCUUCAGCUUCUGCCAUGAUGUGACUGUUCCUGGCCGAAGGGAGGAGUACCAGGUUUGUGCAACAUUCUUGACGGCCAUGACGAAAGACUUCGCCAUAACUGCAGUGUUGCCGCCAUAGGAAGAUAUUGUUGCUUCGUAGCUCAUCAGAAACUGCUUCGGAUCUGAAUGUCCGUCGUACAUGGGGAGUUGAGGUGGCUUGUAAGACGGAGGCCAAGGUGAAGCCUGCAGUUCUGCUGACAGAGGAGAAGCAUCAUCAAAAGCAAAAUUUCCAUGAUGGAAAUCCUCAUACCAGUCAUCCUCGUUGACAAAGCCCUCUUGAUGAAGCUCUCUGUGCUGACGCCUUCGGUUCUGCUCAUCUUGAACAAGAUGACGAACUUCUUCAGAGGCUUCGUCUAUCUGCCUUUGCAGGUCAGCUAGUCUAGCCAUCUUUUUCCUUCUUCCUUUGCACCUGCUGAUGGAACAUCUCCAUAUUUUUGAUCUCUUGAUCCAAGUCGUCCUCCUGAGACGUUGGACUGGUGGCUUCUGGCUUCGGGCCUCCCGAAGAGAGAGGGUCUCCUGGUUGGGAUCCAGCGGCUGCAGAGCGGCAGUCCCUGUUGCUAAAGCUUUCUUUGGCGGCAUGACGAAGGUCUAUGCUUGCCGAAGGUGUUCGAAACUCAAAAGGUGGAAGUGAGUUCACCGGAGGUGGGCGCCAAUGUUGGGGACUUGUUCUCAAAUGCUAAGAGUUAAGAACAAGGCAACAUAAAAAAUGUUAAAUGUUAAAGUCCUUCGUCCUUCGAAGCAUUAUUUCCCUUUAGAUAUAAUGAAUCCCGGACGAAGGUUAUGAAGGACAAGCCUUCAUAAGCACAAUAAAUGAUGGAGAAGGAUUCAUACACAAGAUAUGAAAAAUAAUAUAAACACUUUAAACAUUGUUAUUAACUUAUUUCUAUUUGCGUUACUGUAUUAACAAUAACAAAUUACAAAUGUACCUUCGGCUCGAAGGAAAGCAAAGGUACAAGCGUGACGCGAAAGCAAAUACCAAGUCAGCGUGAACAGUACGGGGAUACUGUUCACUUAUUUAUAGGCACGAGAUGCAGCCCAUGUAAAAUUACACUCAUGCCCUUUACAUUUGCUAAUGACCCUAUAAUAAUCCAUCGAGGUCUGAAUAACCUUUUCCUUUUUAAGUCGGUUCACUUUUCUGCUGUCAUACCGAAGCUCCCCUGCACAUAGCUUCGGCUCUGCGCUAACCUUCGUGUUCUUUGUGCCUCUUCAUGUUGUAGUUUUGAUCUAAAUUCGAAGAUACCUGUUCAUGUAUUAUACUCCAAAAACAUUGUUAAAUCAUGUUUUUGAGGACAUUCAGAAGCCAAAUGUCCCCCAACAGUUGUGUUAGGGCUACGCUCGCCUCGCACCACCGUGCACUUAACUACUAGCACUAGUAGAAUACGGCAAAAAUAAAAAAAAAAGACUGCCAAACUAGAAACCAGUUCCUGAGAGCACCAGCUUUCCCUCGCAUGUAAAGUGUCCACGCCCACCGGAAUGGUAGUAGGCAAGCGCUUGCGCUGCCCGCGUUGGCUUGGCGCAUUCGGAAAUUUCGGAUCAGAACGCUCGUCCACGGAACCUGCCGUCCGUGUAAUGUGGGCGCAGCUCUGCUUUAGUGCUUUGCACCCCCCACUUGCUACUAAACAAGAAGAGUGCAGAGACGACCGCGGUUCCAUCGACAGAGUGGGGCAAGGAGGAGGAGAAUCCAAUAGAGGUCCGUCUGUCCCCAGGCUGACAUUCCGUAGUGCUGAAGGAAGCAAGCAAAGAUCUCGCGGCCCGCGGCGGAAAUUGCUUCACAUGCACGUGCAGUUUUCACACCGCCCAGUGACCGAGGCGGGUGCCGCGGGUCAUCUGUGCUCCUACGUGCUCGGCUAAUCGUAUCGUACACGUACUCAGCAACAGUUCAGAGGCACAGACGUUUCAACGGGCGCGCGCAUCCUUUACGUGGGGUGCAGUGCAGUGCAGGUCGCGCUCGGAAAUGCGUUCCAUGUGAGCGUCGAGUACGUGGGACACGACACGCAUGCGCCAGCACCACCCACCGGAUGGGAUGACCGCACCGUUUCUCGUCUAAUCCGACCAAACCGGCGCCCUUUUCCGCGUCGCACCCAAGCAAAAAAAAAAAAAAGAGCUAGCCCGCUCCGUGGCUCACCCGACACAAGUGAGAAAGAAAGGACGUUCGAUAAAACCUGGAAGAUCUAGGAAUCUGCAUGGUACUGCUCGGUUUCUAAUUACCUGUGCCUUUGCUAUAUAUACAGAUAGAUCUAAUGUUAUGACAAACAAAUACAUGGCAAACAAAUGGUUCUGGAUCAGUGUGGUAGCAAAGCGCUUUUGCACAACCUCUUCCCUCUCCACCAUCCUGGGCCUACAUGCACGCAUGUUCACCGAUUUAAUCCAUCGACCUCUGUUUUUUUCUGCAGGAUUACAGCUGCAACAUUCCUAAUGGUUUUAACCCACCGGCAGCGAACAGCCAUGGAAGCUUGUCAGAACCUCUGUCGCCAGCUGCAAGCCUGCAAUUGCCACGAAGCACCACAGCACCAGGGCCAAAAACGUCUUUAGACCACCACCCGAUAUACAAUUUAGGUGCUGUUUGGUUCACGAAAUGUAACGUAAAGGGUAAUAGUAAUGGUUUACACUCGAUUAUGGCCGAUAAUAAGUUUAAAUAGUCUGAUAUCAAUUUUUAGUAUGAUAUCUAAUUACGGUUGAACUAAAACAAAUAUGAUUUAACGUUAUCGUUUAUCCAUUACGUUACAAAUUUUUGAACCAAACGGUACCUUAGGUCAUGACUCCUCCGACCACGCCGUUCGGAAAAGGUACCGACACGCGGCCCCCGCAGCCAUGUGACCGCUCCUCCCCACGGCUCCCCAUGCGCCGCCCCAGACACAGAACACGGGAGGCCCACGCGAUGUACCGUCCUCGAUGCCCGCCACGUGUAGCCCCGCCGGAUCGAACGGACCAGCGUGCGCUGCGGGAGAGGGCAGGAGGCAAGCGUUCGGCCGGCCGGUCCAAACUCCAUCUAGUCCACCCCACUCCACUCGGUCAUUCUCCUCCACAGUAGCACAGCUAGCUCUUGCCCACCACCGCCACGGGCCCACGACGUCCCAACCCGGUCACCACUAACGUUUCGACCGUUACGGGAGGGCCCCUGUUCCCCCGACGUUGCCGCGCGCGCCCUGACGUCGUCAACGCUGCUCCGCUCGGUCGGUGAACGCAGCUGAUUCCGAGCGACUCUCCACAUGGGUCUGUUUGGUUUAGCUUUUUUCUGACCAACUUUUCUGAAAAUCCGGCUGUGGAGAGAAUCUGGCUGUGGGGAGAAUCUAAGUAUUAUUACGAUUACGUGUAGAGGAAGAUAAAGUUGUUUAUAGGGCUCAGGAUCUAGAAAGUAACGAAUUCCUACUAUUACAACGACUCAACCGAUUAUAUGUUUAUGUUGAUUUUGGAUGGUUUUUGCCCCCAACGAAUUUUAUAGAAGCUGUCUGAAAAACUGAGCGUUUGGCAGUCCGCAGUAGCUUUUGGUGGCCAGAAGCUGCCAGAAGCCGAAACAAACAGGGCUAUUGUGGCCUACGGCGAGGCUCAACGGAAAGAAAGGAAACCGUCGGCCAAAAGAGAAUGGGCCAGCUAUCGUUGGGGCGCUUUUUCGCAUAUAGGCCCCUCUUUGCUCAGGAUAAAUGCUAUUGCUUGCAUAACUUGGGG
rnacentral:lncRNA from 1 species